rnacentral:lncRNA from 1 species
UGUUACCGUGCUCUGCGUUUUCUCCUUCAUCCUCAUCAACCUCUGUGAUCACAGGCCUUCUGCUGUUACCCCUAGGCGGAGCUUGCUCGAUGAACCCAUGGUUCCCCAUGUCCCCAAAAGGCCCUCCCAUCGGCCCAAAAGGGCUAGGUCCAAACAUGUCAUGCUCACCCAUCAUCUGACCCCCAAACGGGCCAGGUCCAAACAUUCCAUGCUCACCCAUCAUCUGACCCCCAAACGGACGGGUAAAGAAUGGAUCAUCAAAUCGAUCCCUCCCCCCAAAGAAGCCAGAAAUCAAGCUCCUGUGGGAACCAAACCCAGCAAAUGGAUCCCUGCCCCUGAAGAC